rnacentral:rRNA from 1 species
UACAGAGGUCUCAAGCGUUGUUCGGAUUCAUUGGGCGCAAAGGGCGCGUAGGCGGCGGGGUAAGUCGGGUGUGAAAUCUCAGAGCUCAACUCUGAAACUGCACUCGAUACUGCUCUGCUUGAGGACUGGAGAGGAGACUGGAAUUCACGGUGUAGCAGUGAAAUGCGUAGAUAUCGUGAGGAAGACCAGUGGCGAAGGCGGGUCUCUGGACAGUUCCUGACGCUGAGGCGCGAAGGCCAGGGGAGCAAACGGG